GAAUCAGGGUUGGGUAAGGCAGAAAGCAGAUAACAGACAAAAGUCUACCUGAGAAUGAGGGCAACUGAGAGACUGGAGGAACAACCGACUUUUUCCUUUAGGAAUCAUACCCUGGCUCCUAGCAGACAUGUGACCCAACCCAGGACAGAGAGUGAUACCUGGAACUUCUACUGGAGCUUUCAAGGGAAGCUCUUUCCCAUGAGGCUGCAUAGCUGGUUGGAUAUACAACCCACAGUGGUUGUGACCAUCUCUACUAUUAAUGAAGACAGCCUGCUUAUAGAGUAAAGCCAGUAAUGAAGAAAGUGAAGCUAAAAGACCAACUGUGGAUGAGAUCAUUUGAGGUCCUGGAUUCAGCCAUGCCUAAAGCCAUAAUCAGCUUUCGAACAUCUGUUACAUGAACCAAUAUAUUCUCUAUUAUGUUUAGGCUGGUUUGAGCUGGGGUUCUGUCUCUCUCAACUGAUAAAAAUUCUGAUUAAUACACAAGCUAAUGGAUACAAGAAAUCACAAGGCUCCCUUUGGAACCACUUAUCUUUCUUUACCCAUUUUAAAUAGGAACAAUGAUACCCUGUGACACUGCUAAAAUUACAAUGACCUCCAUCACCACCAUUUCUCUAUAUACUUGUUACUCUAUCUCUAAGGCCUUAAAGUUCAGGGCCUCGGGUUUACUAACAAUCCCUCUGAAAUUGUCACUGUUAACCACUCUGGCCUGGCUAUUGGAAGUGAAAGCCAGACUGCAGUGGUUCAAAGUGAACAGGAGGUGGGACAGAGAGACAGGAACUAAAGAUAAUUAGUCAAAAGCUUGAUUUCAAAGGAAGAGAAAGAGAAAGAACUAUCUAGAGGAAGACAGGAGGUUAAGGAAGUGGGUUGUGUUGGGGGUGUUUUUCUUCAUGAUGAGAAAAGCUUGAGCAUGUUUGAUGUACUAAGAGGAAAGCAUUGGUAAAGAGGGAAAGAUAAACACAGGAGAGAAUCUGGUCACCGAGGUAGCAGUAGGUAGGGAGGUGAUCUGGAAUUAUGUUAAACAGGAAGAGGGACAUCUCUAAAUCAGGAAGGAAAGAAGAAUGGUACAAAAAGAGGUCCAGAUAAGUUUUUUAAAAUUACACCAGGAAAUAAAUAAAAAUAAAAAUCAUACCAGGAAACUUUAAAAAAACAAAUGGUCACUUAUUCGUUUACAUGAAUGAUAGAGGUACAGUUAGAUGGUUAUGGUAAUAUAAGCCCAUUUGAUGGAAUAAUAUAUAUAUUUUAAAUGAUGCUUAUGGAGAAUAUGCAAUAACAAGAUAUAAUAAUAGGUAAAAAAGUAGGAUACAAAAUUGAAUACAGGUAUGUUUAAAAACUUAUAUUUAUAAAUAAUCCAUAUAUAAAAAGUGACCAGAAUGAAAUAUCAAAAAUAUUAACAGUGGUUUAUUUGGGUGUAGGACUAAGGAUGUUUUUCUUCUAUUUUUAAUUACCAAAUACUUUAAUGAGUAUAUAUUUUUAAAAAUCAUAAUUCAACUUUAGUCUUCUACAAAUAUGGAAAAUAUUUUUUUUUUAAUUUAGAAAUUACUUGAGAAUAAAAAAUACAGGAAUGCUUUUACUUUUGAAGUACAGGAAUAAAAGAUGAUAAUUUGAUCACACCUGGAAGUUUUCCCUAUUGACCUGGUUAAGACAGUCUUAUUUUUGCCUUCAGAGUUAGAAUGCACCAUAAAGAGAUCAUCAUCCAGUUUUACAAAAUCCCACGGUAGGAAUCUUCUCAACAGUACCCAACAGUUAGUCAUCCUGUGCUUAGAUACUCCUCGGAAAGGUCAAGAUAAGGUGCAAGAGCACAGAUGAGAGCCCAGACUCACUUCUCUCAUAGCAUUCUAGAAUGCCUAUGUCCCUCUAAAACGGGGUACCCAGAGCUCCACAUGUGGACUAAUAUGGACAGAAUGGGACUAUUAGCACCUUUCCUCUCUACUUCAAUUAAUACAACCUAAGACUGGUUAGUUCUGUUCUAAAUGACAGCUACUGCCACUCUCAUAGUCCAAACAAACACACAAGGCUAAAAGGAAGAGGAAGGGGCAGGGGCAAGAGAAAAAGUCAAGAAGGAGAACUAUCUCAGACAGCUUCUGCAUGAAAGCAAAAAAUCCCCAAAUAUCUAUAAUUCAUCUGUUGAACUGCUAACCACAACACCUACCUUAAUUAAGUAAAUUGUAAUUUGGUUUCUCUACAAUAGCUAUAAAAUUAAUCACAAGAAAAAAAAUCAUUGCUGCCUUUAAAAUGUAUCAGGUAUGAAAAGACUAUUAAGAAAUGCUGUUAAGAAAAAAAAAAAACAAAACUAAGGUAUAGAAUAGUAUAUAUAAAGUAUGCCACAACAAGUACAAAAAAACAAUAUGUAUGUGUAUAUGCUUACAUAUACAUGGAACUCUUCAUAAGGACACAGAGGAAAUUGCCAAUAGUGGUUGCCGCUGAGGAGGGAGUAGCGAAGGAAAAAGAGAUAGGAGAAAAAUUUUAAUUUCCUUAAUUAUCCCUUUGUGCCUUUUAAAAAGAUUUUCCAUGUGUGUGUAUUCACUAUUCCAAUAAAGAAAGAAAUCUGUAAUUAUCCUAAAUUGUGAAAGAAAAUAUUAAGGUUAAAACAAAAAACAUGUCCAAAAUAUUCACUUAAUGUGAAUAAAUUAUACAUCACAUACUAUAACAAGGUCUGGAAAAAAUGUACUCUUGCAAGAAAAAAUUGAUAAAACUGAAUCACAACAAAAAAAACAGCAACUGUCCCCAAAAAGUAUAUACCUUUUGACCUAGCACUCCCACUUCCAGGAACUUAGCCUAAGGAAAUAAUUACACAAGGGCAUAAAAACAAUAUACCAGGUUGUUUAUCUAAGCAUUGUUUAUAACAACAACAAUAUCAGUAGUACCACAAAUAUGCAGUAGAAUUCCUUACAGUUAUAAAAUGGGACACCAUAUAGCAUUAAUAUGACUUAGACAUAUUUCUUUAUUAAUAAUUUGUUUAAAUUAUUUUAAUGUAUUUGUUAUUUGCAUAAUAAAUAAAAACAUUUAUGCAUGUUAUAUAUGCUAUAGUGCCAUUUUUGUUAAAAAGUAUAUUUAUAUUUAUGUAUGUACACAUUUAUAUUGGAUAGCAUCUAGAAGGAUAUGUAUCAGAAAAGCUGUCUCUAAGUAUAUACUUUUAAUACUUUUCA